rnacentral:rRNA from 1 species
CCUACGGGGGGCAGCAGUGAGGAAUAUUGGUGAAUGGCCGGAAGGCUGAACCAGCCAUGCCGCGUGAAGGUCAGUGCCCUAUGGGCGUUAAACUUCUUUUGUGCGGGAGCAAUAAUGGUCACGUGUGGCCAGACGAGAGUACCGUACGAAUAAGCAUCGGCUAACUCCGUGCCAGCAGCCGCGGUAAUACGGGGGAUGCAAGCGUUAUCCGGGUUUAUUGGGUUUAAAGGGUGCGUAGGCUGUGAGGUAAGUCAGCGGUGAAAUGCCCGCGCUCAACGGGGUGAAGUGCCAUUGAUACUGGCUGGCUUGAAUGCGGAUGCGGUAGGAGGAAUGUGUGGUGUAGCGGUGAAAUGCAUAGAUAUCACACAGAACACCGAUUGCGAAGGCAUCUCACGAAUCCGCGAUUGACGCUGAUGCACGAAAGCGUGGGUAUCAAACAGGAUUAGAUAUCCGUGUAGUC